rnacentral:tRNA from 1 species
GCUCAGUUGGUUGAGCUUCUGACUCUUGAUUUCCGCUCAGGUCAUGAUCCGAAGGUCGUGGGAUCAAGCCCCACAUUGGGCU